UUGAGAACUGCUAGGCUUGAGUGACGGAGAGGGAGCUAGAAUUCCUGGUGUANGGGUGGAAUCUGUAGAGAUCAGGAAGAAUACCAAUGGCGAAGGCAAGCUCCUGGCCGAUGACUGACGCUGAGGUGCGAAAGUGUGGGGAUCAAACAGGAUUAGAUACCCUGGUAGUCCACACUGUAAACGAUGUGCACUAGGUGCUGGUACGGAUGUAUCAGUGCCGUAGCUAACGUGAUAAGUGCACCGCCUGGGGAGUAUGCUCGCAAGGGUGAAACUCAAAGGAAUUGACGGGGGCCCGCACAAGCGGUGGAGCAUGUGGUUUAAUUCGAUGGUACGCGAGGAACCUUACCUGGGUUUGACAUACAGCGUAAUAGGGCAGAGAUGCUCUACGUAGCAAUACGGCGCUGUACAGGUGCUGCAUGGCUGUCGUCAGCUCGUGCCGUGAGGGUGUUGGGUUAAGUCCGCAACGAAGCGCAACCCCUACUGGCAGUUACUAACAGGUGAAGCUGAGGAC
rnacentral:rRNA from 1 species